GUUUUUGUGGGAACCAUUACAUCGCUGCUCUCCCUCAGAGGAACGGGGUGACGAUGAUGAGCAAUCACAGCCGGAGCAGACUUUCUGCCUCAAAUUGUGACAGGAUCCUCGACAAUUGACCACGUCCCGCUUUGUUUGGCCCAAUUGCUAAUUCAUGCAAGUUGACAUUCUGGAGGCGACAAUUAUGAGUGAUGAAAGGAACUGAAAAUACGAGGAGGGAGCACUUAAGGGGAAAGGAGGAAGCAUCAAGUUGAGUUUAUCCUGAAUAAAUCCACAUCGGAAGCUCUUCUGAAAACCCAACCCCACUGAACAGACAACGUGACGGCCCAGAGAUGAUGAGGAUUCCUACAGCGAGAGGACGAGUCCGCAAAAGAAUAAAAAAACAUGAAGGUCCACGAGCUCGCUGAGUCACGGGAGGAGGAGGAGAAGCUGCUGCUGUGUGAAACUUUCAGCCAUGAUGAUGAUGAUGAUGAUGAUGAAGAAGGUGAUGUCACAGCAGGUCAACACCUGAGUGACAUCAUGGAUCAGGGUGUGGUCAGCAGACUCGUCACUGAGCUGAAGAAGAUCAGCAGCGUUUUUAUCACAUUGUGCCACGAGAGGUGUCUUUUUUUUUCAAAUCGUGUAAUUGAUUGAAAUCUGGUUUAUUUCUCACUUGAGCUUCAUUAUUCUGAUUUCACCCUGGACACGUGUAGUUCUGAUGAAGCUUCACUGCAGCACAGGGAAGUU